UUGGUUGCUCUUAUUAGAUCAACGCUUCUUUGACAUUCCAUUAGUCAUAAUACAAAGCAGGAACUGUGAGUGGCCCAACCCCCGACAUUAGCUGGAAGUGGUUUCCAAAUUAAGCAAAUUCAGCAUUUCCUGAGCAAUUAGGUGCCCUUCCUCAUCCACCCUCCUCCACCAUCCAAAAGAGGAUUUGUAUAUAUUUUCAAAUACAGCCAAAACAUAAUUGUAGUGUAACCAGAGAAAUUUAGUACGAAACUUCUGCUGGAAACCCACAGAUGUUGUCCCCGAGCUAAGUUAAUCUACUGAAGUAGCUUCUAUCCUGAUGGGCUGUGUAUAUGGACUGUGUUCCGUCCUGAUGGAUAUACAUGGUCUGCACAUUUCAGAACUCUUUGGGAAGUCAUAUCUUUCCAAAAUGUGGAAGACGGAGCUUAUCUAUGCAGAAUAAUUUUUUUGUGUGAUAAUUGUUGAAUGCUGAAAUAGAUUCCUUCGAGAAUCUUAAUGUCAUCAUUGGAUUUUAGAACUGAGAAGACUUCAUAGAAAAUUUCAUUUUUCGGUUGAGAAACUGACACCCAGAAGAGGAAAAGGUCUUGCCCAAGUUCAUAGAGACAGCGGCAGAAUCAGGACUAGAACCUGAGGACUCCUGACUCCUAUACACAGACGGACAAUGCCAACUCUCCUAAGGCCGGGAUUUUGUUCUGGUUUACUCACUGCUACCUCCCCAGCACCUAGAUCAGUGCCCGGCACAUGAAGGUGUUUGAUAAAUAUUUGUUGGAUGAAUAAAUGAAUGACAAUUCUUC